AUCACAAGCUGUGAAGCCCACGGCAUCGGUAUUUUUGUCUUCUCCUGGAAGGUCCACUUUAACCGUUCUGCACAUUAACAGCUUGAAGGGUGGAAGACCCACCAGGCUAAAGUGUGAGCCUGUGACAGUCCACGGAUGUUCAACAAUUUGAAGGACCAGAAAAUCAAAUAGUUACUCCAACUGAAGAGGGGGCAAGUGAAAAAGACAGAAUUUACAUGGGGAGAGUCUGCACCCUGGAGACAUGAGAUCUGCAAGAAAUAAAUUUAACCUAGAAACUAAGUUUGCUUUGAGAAAUUGUGAGGUCUAGUUGGCUUGUCAACCAUGAAAUCAUCUGAACUUAUCUGUUUGGAUCUACUUCCCAAUUGCUACUAUAGACAGAUGGACCAGAAAAGGCCAUGUACAAAGACAAAGUGUGUAUGAAAAUUUAUGAAUAAUGAUUCAAGAUUUAAAGGUAAGGAAUUGAAUUAUACUCUCAUAUAAUUUUUUUAUUUUUUUCUUUUGAGACAGUCUCAGUCUGUUGCCAGGGUAGAGUUAGUGCC